AGCUUCUCUUUUAGGUAAAGUGUUCUAAGUUCAGUUUCUGCAUUCCUCAAACUAACUGUAGAUGAUCACUGCGUCAUACUGGCCUCGAGUAUAUCACUUUUACUGACCUUAGGUUCCUUACAUCGUCGUUCACCCGAUGUACCAAUUUCGUUACGUGGACGAGUAUUUAAAACCACAUCGACUUCAUCAUCAUUUUCCGCAGUCACAUGUACUCCUCUAUUCAAAAAAUCAUCUUCUAGCUGCAUUUUUUCCUCUGAUGUGUUGGGAAGCUGGGUGGAGGCACUGUCUAAUUCUCUAGUAGCUGUAGUCCUGCUGAAUAUCUCCCCGAGAGUGUGGUAGUGCUUACAUCCUUCCCUCUUGAACAACUUGUAAUCUGAC
rnacentral:lncRNA from 1 species